AGGUCCCCCACACUGGAACUGAGACUCGGUCCAGACUCCUACGGGAGGCAGCAGUGAGGAAUAUUGGUCAAUGGUCGGGAGACUGACCCAGCCAGCCCGCGUGAAAGUCACGGCCAUAUAGGUAUUCAACAUCUUUUGUAAGGGAGCAAUAAGGAUCACGUGUGGUCUGAUGAGAGUACCUUACGAAUAAGCAUCGGCUAACUCCGUGCCAGCAGCCGCGGUAAUACGGGGGAUGCAAGCGUUAUCCGGAUUUAUUGGGUUUAAAGGGUGCGUAGGCGGUUUGUUAAGUCAGCGGUGAAAUUUAGGGGCUCAACCUCUACCGUGCCGUUGAUACUGGCAGGCUUGAAUGCGGAUGCCGUGGGAGGAAUGUGUGGUGUAGCGGUGAAAUGCAUAGAUAUCACACAGAACACCGAUUGCGAAGGCAUCUCACGAAUCCGCAAUUGACGCUGAUGCACGAAAGCGUGGGGAUCAAACAGGAUUAGAUACCCUGGUAGUCCACGCUGUAAACGAUUUAAGGAACCGUCGGCGAUACACAGUCGGUGGCCAAGCGAAAAGCGAUAAGUUAUCCCACUGGGGAGUAAGUCAGCAAGGUUGAAACUCAAAGGAAUAGACGGGGGGCCCGCACAAGGGGACGAACAUGUGGUUUAAAUUCGAAUGAUACGCGGGGAACCUUACCCGGGCUCGAACGGCGGCUGAAUCAUUCAGAGAUGGAUGAGUCUUCGGACAGUUGUCGAGGUGCUGCAUGGUUGUCGUCAGCUCUGUGCUGUGAAGUGUCGGCUUAAGUGCCAUAACGAGCGCACCCCUUGCCGUUAGUUGCCAUCAGGUUAUGAUGGGGACUCUAGCGGGACUGCCACCGCAAGGUGUGAGGAAGGGGGGGAUGACGUCAAAUCAGCACGGCCCUUACGUCCGGGGCGACACACGUGUUACAAUGGUGGGUACAGAGGGAAGCUACCUGGUGACAGGAUGCAGAUCUCGAAAACCCAUCCCAGUUCGGAUAGGAGUCUGCAACCCGACUCCACGAAGUUGGAUUCGCUAGUAAUCGCGCAUCAGCCAUGGCGCGGUGAAUACAAAGCCGGGCCUUGCACUCACCGCCCGUCAAG
rnacentral:rRNA from 1 species